rnacentral:rRNA from 1 species
AAUUGAAGAGUUUGAUCAUGGCUCAGAUUGAACGCUGGCGGCAGGCCUAACACAUGCAAGUCGAGCGGUAGCACAGAGAGCUUGCUCUCGGGUGACGAGCGGCGGACGGGUGAGUAAUGUCUGGGAAACUGCCUGAUGGAGGGGGAUAACUACUGGAAACGGUAGCUAAUACCGCAUAACGUCGCAAGACCAAAGUGGGGGACCUUCGGGCCUCAUGCCAUCAGAUGUGCCCAGAUGGGAUUAGCUAGUAGGUGGGGUAACGGCUCACCUAGGCGACGAUCCCUAGCUGGUCUGAGAGGAUGACCAGCCACACUGGAACUGAGACACGGUCCAGACUCCUACGGGAGGCAGCAGUGGGGAAUAUUGCACAAUGGGCGCAAGCCUGAUGCAGCCAUGCCGCGUGUGUGAAGAAGGCCUUCGGGUUGUAAAGCACUUUCAGCGGGGAGGAAGGCGUUAAGGUUAAUAACCUUGGCGAUUGACGUUACCCGCAGAAGAAGCACCGGCUAACUCCGUGCCAGCAGCCGCGGUAAUACGGAGGGUGCAAGCGUUAAUCGGAAUUACUGGGCGUAAAGCGCACGCAGGCGGUCUGUCAAGUCGGAUGUGAAAUCCCCGGGCUCAACCUGGGAACUGCAUUCGAAACUGGCAGGCUAGAGUCUUGUAGAGGGGGGUAGAAUUCCAGGUGUAGCGGUGAAAUGCGUAGAGAUCUGGAGGAAUACCGGUGGCGAAGGCGGCCCCCUGGACAAAGACUGACGCUCAGGUGCGAAAGCGUGGGGAGCAAACAGGAUUAGAUACCCUGGUAGUCCACGCCGUAAACGAUGUCGAUUUGGAGGUUGUGCCCUUGAGGCGUGGCUUCCGGAGCUAACGCGUUAAAUCGACCGCCUGGGGAGUACGGCCGCAAGGUUAAAACUCAAAUGAAUUGACGGGGGCCCGCACAAGCGGUGGAGCAUGUGGUUUAAUUCGAUGCAACGCGAAGAACCUUACCUGGUCUUGACAUCCACAGAACUUAGCAGAGAUGCUUUGGUGCCUUCGGGAACUGUGAGACAGGUGCUGCAUGGCUGUCGUCAGCUCGUGUUGUGAAAUGUUGGGUUAAGUCCCGCAACGAGCGCAACCCUUAUCCUUUGUUGCCAGCGGUUCGGCCGGGAACUCAAAGGAGACUGCCAGUGAUAAACUGGAGGAAGGUGGGGAUGACGUCAAGUCAUCAUGGCCCUUACGACCAGGGCUACACACGUGCUACAAUGGCAUAUACAAAGAGAAGCGACCUCGCGAGAGCAAGCGGACCUCAUAAAGUAUGUCGUAGUCCGGAUUGGAGUCUGCAACUCGACUCCAUGAAGUCGGAAUCGCUAGUAAUCGUAGAUCAGAAUGCUACGGUGAAUACGUUCCCGGGCCUUGUACACACCGCCCGUCACACCAUGGGAGUGGGUUGCAAAAGAAGUAGGUAGCUUAACCUUCGGGAGGGCGCUUACCACUUUGUGAUUCAUGACUGGGGUGAAGUCGUAACAAGGUAACCGUAGGGGAACCUGCGGUUGGAUCACCUCCUUACCUUA